UAGGGAAUCUUCGGCAAUGGACGAAAGUCUGACCGAGCAACGCCGCGUGAGUGAAGAAGGUUUUCGGAUCGUAAAACUCUGUUGGUAGAGAAGAACGUUGGUGAGAGUGAAAGCUCAUCAAGUGACGGUAACUACCCAGAAAGGGACGGCUAACUACGUGCCAG
rnacentral:rRNA from 1 species